rnacentral:rRNA from 1 species
UAGGGAAUCUUCCACAAUGGACGCAAGUCUGAUGGAGCAACGCCGCGUGAGUGAAGAAGGUUUUCGGAUCGUAAAGCUCUGUUGUUGGUGAAGAAGGAUAGAGGCAGUAACUGGUCUUUAUUUGACGGUAAUCAACCAGAAAGUCACGGCUAACUACGUGCCAGCAGCCGCGGUAAUACGUAGGUGGCAAGCGUUGUCCGGAUUUAUUGGGCGUAAAGCGAGCGCAGGCGGAAUGAUAAGUCUGAUGUGAAAGCCCACGGCUCAACCGUGGAACUGCAUCGGAAACUGUCAUUCUUGAGUGCAGAAGAGGAGAGUGGAAUUCCAUGUGUAGCGGUGGAAUGUGUAGAUAUAUGGAAGAACACCAGUGGCGAAGGCGGCUCUCUGGUCUGCAACUGACGCUGAGGCUCGAAAGCAUGGGUAGCGAACAGG